rnacentral:rRNA from 1 species
CCUACGGGAGGCAGCAGUAGGGAAUCUUCCGCAAUGGACGAAAGUCUGACGGAGCAAUGCCGCGUGAGUGAAGAAGGUUUUCGGAUCGUAAAACUCUGUUGUUAGAGAAGAACAAGGAUGAGAGUAACUGCUCAUCCCCUGACGGUAUCUAACCAGAAAGCCACGGCUAACUACGUGCCAGCAGCCGCGGUAAU